GCGAUGGGUUUUCUGCCCCUGCGGGGGUGGAGCGACAGAAGUUUUGAGAAUUCAAGAGAAGGUCACGGCGAGACGAGCCGUUUAUCAUUACGAUAGGUGUCAA